rnacentral:rRNA from 1 species
CAUGCAGUCGAGCGCCCCGCAAGGGGAGCGGCAGACGGGUGAGUAACGCGUGGGAACGUACCUUUUGCUACGGAAUAACUCAGGGAAACUUGUGCUAAUACCGUAUGUGCCCUUCGGGGGAAAGAUUUAUCGGCAAAGGAUCGGCCCGCGUUGGAUUAGCUAGUUGGUGAGGUAAAGGCUCACCAAGGCGACGAUCCAUAGCUGGUCUGAGAGGAUGAUCAGCCACACUGGGACUGAGACACGGCCCAGACUCCUACGGGAGGCAGCAGUGGGGAAUAUUGGACAAUGGGCGCAAGCCUGAUCCAGCCAUGCCGCGUGAGUGAUGAAGGCCCUAGGGUUGUAAAGCUCUUUCACCGGUGAAGAUAAUGACGGUAACCGGAGAAGAAGCCCCGGCUAACUUCGUGCCAGCAC